UUGAUCUCAAGAGAAGAAACAAUGAUCUCCAUCAGCCUCUUUCUGCUCUUGGCAAGUGCACACAGUGUUUAUUCACAGGUUGUGCUCACACAGUCUGAACAGUCAGUAGUUGUGUCUCCAGGUGGUUCCUACAAACUGACCUGUGCCUGCAGUGGGUUUUCUGUUAGUAGCACUAAAAUGCACUGGAUCCGUCAGGCACCUGGAAAAGGACUUGAAUGGAUUAUUUAUUAUUAUUCAGAUUCUUAUAAGAGCUCAGCUCAGUCAGUGCAGGGCAGAUUCACAGCAUCUAAGGACAGCUCUAAUCUCUAUCUGCACAUGAAUCAGCUGAAGACUGAAGACACUGCAGUGUAUUACUGUGCAAGAGAGACACUGUGGAAACACAAAUAUAGGCAGCUGUUCAAAAACUCAUCAUGA